UUCUAUUUGAUUAGGCUUCUAUAAUAAAUUUUACUACAUAAUAAUAAAUGAGUACUUAAUAAUUCUUAAGUAAUUACUACAUAAUAAUUCUCCAAAAAGAAGAAAAUGGUAUAAAAAGCCUCCAAUAGCUCCACUUGCCUAAGGAUAAAUUCCAAAAUCCUUAGCAGGACAUUCAGGACCCCAAACACUGUAGCUCCAACCUGUCCUUCCAGCCUCAUCUCCUGCCACUGCCUGUUCUAGAACAUGCAGUAUAACCCCCAGAGCAAAGCCCUCACCCUCUCUCUCCACACGGUGCACAUCCUGCUGCCUCAGAGGUCAGCUGGUAUCAUCAGCCCAUGCAGGGCGCUCCUUUUCUGACAGAGAGAAAGAGCCGAGCCUUUGGGGUUGGGGAAGGUGUCAGUCACCCUGGCCCAUGCGGAGACCAGGAAAAAAGUAGAGCAGAGAGACUUCCUCCUAAAAGUGAAUUGAUUACUUCUCUGACCUUACUGGGUUCCAAAUUAAGUUUCUCUUAGUGUUUUCUCUUCAGUUGAUGUUGUCUCACAUGAGGCGAGAGAAUGAAUGAAUUUUUUCCCUUCUCUUUCUGGGCCUCCAGUUCAGCUGAGCCGUAAAACUUCGUCUCAGAUUUCUUGAACCCAUGAAAGAUGUUUGCAAAGUCUGAGACUGCCUUGCUUAGUAUUUGGCUGCCCUCAGAAUCCGUUCCAGAGACCAGGUGAAUGAAUGGUGAAUGGACUCCAGUGUUCUGGAGGGAAAUAGGGAAGCAGGGAAAUGGCUGAGCAUUAACGGUGCUCAAGCAGAAAAGUUAUGCUGUAAGAAAUAGUGCUAUGUUUCUUUGCAGCUCAGCCAUUUCUUUCCUUACAAUCUCUUUUUGCCUUUGGACAAAAAAGAUUUUUAAAAAACAAUUUUGAUUACAUUUAAACCCUGGGACAGACGACUAUUUCAAACAUAAAACAGUGGGCCUUUCACAGCCUCUGUGUUCUUUUACGGCCACCUGAACAAUAAGCCUUUCAGGUUUUCAGUGGGUGGGAAUGGGUUAGCCAAGCUCAAAACAGGCCUGACUGCACUUUGAGCAAAGAUCAAAUAUCCCAGUGGGGAGGCAUGUUUUUAUUUGAGAAGGUUCUCUCGGCCCUCAUGACAGCAACAGAUUCCUUCUUCGCUAAGAUCGUAGGCUCCUGACACGAGUGGCCCUCCUCUGAGGAUAACUGUGUCCUCCUACUGUUCUGCUAGAUUUUCAAAACAUUCAGCCCUGAGCAAAACUCGAAAAGAAGAAAAGAUCCUCUCAGUGCCAUCUUCCUUCAAAUUAGAGAAUAAACAGCCUGGAUACCAGGUCCCUCAUUUUUCCCCAACCAGCUCUGUAGUACCAGAAAUUCUAAGAUCUAAACUUAAUGCUUUUUUUUUUUUUUGAGGAAGAUCAGCCCUGAGCUAACAUCUGCCAAUCCUUCUCUUUUUGUUGAGGAAGACUGGCCCUGAGCUCACAUCCAUGCCCAUCUUCCUCUAUUUUAUACAUGGGAUUCCUACUACAGCAUGGCUUUUUGCCAAGUGGGGCCAUGUCCGCACCCAGGAUCCGAACCUGUGAACCCCGGGCUGCCAUGAAGUGGAACGUGCGAACUUAACCACUGCACCACCAGGCCAGCCCCUAAACUUAAAGCUUUGAUCUCAGUUAAAAAUCAAGAAGGAAUAACAUAUUCUUUUUAUUUUGUGAUACACAGCUUUCAUAUGAUUGGAUGACAUGUAAAGCAUUAAGUUGUGUCAAUUGUAAUAAUUUGAGACAUCAGCAAGAUUUUUCAUGCCUCUCUCCUGGAGAUUAUCUCUGGAUCAGAUGCUAGAUCUUGACUUCUGUUAUCCUGGAGUGAGUCAAAAGAAAUUUGAAAUGGAGAGGAGACCAAAAUAACAGGGCCUUCAAUUCAGCCCAGAGACUAGGGGCAGAAACAUGCAACGGAGCUCUGAAAUGGACUGUGACUGGCUUAGACCUGAAGUGACAAAGACCCAGUCAGUGUGCCCAGGUGGGGCCUGGAGAAGGAGGACGGGGAAGGAACGGGCCAGCCUGCACCUUUAUCAUUUUCCUUGAUCCUGUGCCCCAGCUGAGGAACUCCCCAGCCUGUGCCGAGAAUACGUUCCUCGAGGACCACUUUUCAAACAGCCCUGUAGAGGGCGCGGUUUCCUCGUCCCAGAGGCUUCCAGGGUUCAGGCAGGCUCUGAAGGCUUUUCCAUCCGUCUGAUAAUCUCUUCGAAGCACUGAGGAAGCACCGUGGGGAGUAUCAAGAAGCACAGGAGGGCCUCCUCGGACUGUGAGAAACUCCGGGCAUAGUUCUAGGGAAGAAGACAAAGACAUGGACCUGUUGCAGUGGUUCCAAGACAUAUUCAAGUUCACGGCCAAGGCAGCCUGCAGAUUCUGGAUGCUUAGGAAUUCAGAAGAGGUCUGGACUGGUCCCAACAGUCUCUAAGGAAGGUGUCAAAGAGGUGAUGGCAUUGGGAGCAGACCUUAAUGGAUGAGAUGAUUUGGGGACUAACGCCAAGACAAGCAGAUGCAGAAGAUGGCAAGGUCUUGUUAAAGCCUCUUGUUUUUAAAUUAAAAUUAAAAUUCAACAUAUUUGAAUUGUUUACUUUUAAAUGGCUAAUUUUUAUUAUGUGACUUUUGCCUCAAUUAAAAACUACAUGAGAUAGCUAUAUAUGUGUGUGUGUAUAUAUAUUAAAUUUUCAAUUUAUUUAUUGUUGGAAUAGGUAAUAAGUCUCAUGGUUCACAAUCCAAAGGGAAAAAAGAGUGCAUAGUAAAAACUCUUCUUUCAAUCUUUCUUCCACCC
ensembl:lncRNA